UACGUAGGGGGCAAGCGUUGUCCGGAAUCAUUGGGCGUAAAGAGCGUGUAGGCGGCCCGGUAAGUCCGCUGUGAAAGUCCAGGGCUCAACCCUGGGAUGCCGGUGGAUACUGUCGGGCUAGAGUGCGGAAGAGGCGAGUGGAAUUCCUGGUGUAGCGGUGAAAUGCGCAGAUAUCAGGAGGAACACCGAUUGCGAAGGCAGCUCGCUGGGACGUUACUGACGCUGAGACGCGAAAGCGUGGGGAGCAAACAGG
rnacentral:rRNA from 1 species